GACGAACGCUGGCGGCGUGCUUAACACAUGCAAGUCGAACGGAAAGGCCCUGCUUUUGUGGGGUGCUCGAGUGGCGAACGGGUGAGUAACACGUGAGUAACCUGCCCUUGACUUUGGGAUAACUUCAGGAAACUGGGGCUAAUACCGGAUAGGAGCUCCUGCUGCAUGGUGGGGGUUGGAAAGUUUCGGCGGUUGGGGAUGGACUCGCGGCUUAUCAGCUUGUUGGUGGGGUAGUGGCUUACCAAGGCUUUGACGGGUAGCCGGCCUGAGAGGGUGACCGGCCACAUUGGGACUGAGAUACGGCCCAGACUCCUACGGGAGGCAGCGGUGGGGAAUAUUGCACAAUGGGCGGAAGCCUGAUGCAGCAACGCCGCGUGCGGGAGGACGGCCUUCGGGUUGUAAACCGCUUUCGCCUGUGACGAAGCGUGAGUGACGGUAAUGGGUAAAGAAGCACCGGCUAACUACGU
rnacentral:rRNA from 1 species